ensembl:lncRNA
GCCAUUUUGGAGCAUGCGCAGUGGCGUCUUUCGCGGUGUAUUGUGGGAUAUAGCGGGACAGAUGGAGGGCGCCAUUUUGGAGCAUGCGCAGUGGCUGCUUCCGCGGUGUAUUGUGGGAUAUUGCGAGGCAGAUGGAGGGCGCCAUUUUCUGAGCAUGCGCAGUGGUUUCUUUCGCGGUGUAUUGUGGGAUAUAGCGGGGGAGAUGGAGGGCGCCAUUUCUGAGCAUGCGCAGUGGCGUCUUUCGCGGUGCAUUGUGGGAUAUAGCAGGGAAGAUGGAGGGCGCCAUUUUGGAGCAUGCGCAGUGGCGUCUUUCGCGGUGUAUUGUGGGAUAUAGCGAGUCAUAUGGAGGGAGCCAUCUUGAAGCAUGCGCAGUGGCGUCUUUCGCGGCGUAUUGUGGGAUAUAGCGAGUCAGAUGGAGGGCGCCAUUUUGGUGCAUGCGCAACAGGAUUGCGUCCUGAGGACUGUGGGAUAUAACGAGGCACCUGGGGGCCGCCAUCUUUUUCCGGUUCGGGGCCGCGUGGGGCGAAUCGCCGCUUCUCCACGUUCCGCGAUGGGGCUGAGGAGGACGCGGGGCUCCCGCGGGGCCGGGGCCGCUCCGAGGUUGGAGCCCGAGGCGGCCGCGUAUUUCCAGAGGGCCCUGGAGACGCUGCAGGAGGGGCUGAGCCCCGAGGAGAUGGCUCUCUUCGCCCCCAACGUCCUGGAGGAGGCGGCGGCCGCGUGCCCUGCGCUGUCCCUGCACCCGGAGGGCUCCGUCCUGCUGCAGUCGCUGCUGCCCCACGCUCCCCCCCGAGCCCUGGGCCGGGUGCUGGGGGCCAUGGUGGGGGGGGAGG